UUCUAUUUUUAAAAAAGAUUGAAAUAUAAAAUAUGAUUUUUGAUGAAUUUGGAAUUUGGCAUUUAAAGGCCUUCAUGGAGCUCGACCUCCGAAAGCGAUGAUUACCGUUGAAGUUGUCCACCAAGCUAUAGAUUACAACGAUGGCCUGAACUUGGUCGUGAAUCUUAGAGACUGAACUAUGGACAUAUUUUUAGUUAAUAUCUCUUGUGAUCUAAAAAAAUAAUCCCGGGGACAGCACAUCAAUUAGGAUAGGACCAAUGGCAUGUUAAACACGGCUUGUGCCAACCUUUGUUGGACUAAUAAUAAGUACAUGUUUGGGGCAAAGCCAAUUAGCACUGCAGGCUCGUUUCAGGUCGAGGCAUCCAUUCUGUGCAAGAGAAGUUUCCGAGAAAUGAUCCUUGCAGCGUAACAGGGAUUACCAGUUUUUGGUCAUUCUGAAAAUGCAAACAUCCUUAGAUACGGACAAUUAAUGCACUUCUAAAGUAUAUCUCUGAAAUUGUCUCUUGUAGAUGACCAGAAGUAGAUGGAGUUGGAGAGCUUUAGUCAAAGAAUCUGAUAUUGUGAGACGUCAUAUAUUUGCACGUCAUGUUCAUCAUAGCAUCAUAUAUAUCUUGCAAACAAGUCAUUUCACCUAGAUUCUACAGCAUUUGUCGCGAGCCUGUCGGACGAUCGUUACAGCUAACUAGCCAUGUUCAUCAUGUGCUACUGGUCAUCGGUGGGAUUACUUGUCCUUUGGAUGAAAAUAACGGAUGAAAAUAUUUUUUGCUGGCAUAUUCAUGGCUUUGGAUGCAUUGAUUUAACCAAAGGAGUGAUGUCGUCUCUAAUAUGUUUUAUAUAUUUUGAAUGUACUAACUAGGUUCUAUAUGAACCAAAUGGAAACCUAUCUUCAAAACAAAUGAGGCAUGAAGGGAGGGAGGGGCGAACCUCGCGGCCGGAGGAGGAGAGCGCGGCGGAGGCGGAGGGGGAGGCGGUGGCGCCCUUGUCGUCGCCCAUCAUUGGGGGUUCCUGGCGGCGGUGGGGAGAGGCAGGGAGCGGGGAGGGCGCGGUGCGAGGCGGGCGGUGGCGCAGCGGCGAGGGGGGAGCAGGGGGUUCGGUCUGUGGUGGCUGGAGGGAGGCGGCCGGAGGGCCAGCCGGCGGCGGCAGGUGCGGUUGGAGGGGCGAUCGGAGGGCUUGCGCGAGAGCGGGAGUUUCGCUGGAUUGGAUCAGGAGGAGAGCCACGAGGGGAGGGGAGCGAGUGUUUUUUUUUCACUUCUGGUUAUCAAUGGCGCACCCACCUAAGAAUGCGCCAUUGGUAACCAGGGUACCAAUGGCGCACCUGGUAAGAAUACGCCAUUAGUAGUUUUUAAAAAAACUGAAAAAACAAUUGUUAGUACUGUGCACCGUGGAUGUGGUGCGCCCUUACUAGUUAAAACUAGUAAUGACGCACUUCCACUGGUGCGUCAGUGAUAUGUCUAGGAAAGGGUGUGGGGCCAGGACAAAGAUAGUAAUGACGCACCACACACAAGGUGCGCCAUUAGUAAUACGGAGACUAAUGGCGCACCAGUCUCUGGUGCGCCACUGCUAUAUAGCAGUGCGCACCACAUACAUGGUGCGUCAUUAAUGUCCAUAUUAGCUAUAACCCUUUUUCUAAUAGUGAUAUGUUCAUCCCAGCCCCUCUACUUGGUGUGUACCUGGUAAUAGAUUUACGAACUACUAAACCGUAUUCCCUUUCGGAAAGACCUGUGGCAGCACGAAAGGAAAGGUGAUAUACUGACAAGACUCCAUCUACAGUCGACUUAGGAGGUUAAGUUUUUCCUGCAAGGGUGAGUAUCGCAUAAUUUUUCUGAAUGAUAAACCUCAGUGUUACCACCAUCAGACCUCGGUAUGCUCUCACUGACCACUCUCAUCCCGCGAGAUGUCAGUCCAUGGUCUCAUAAUAUCCAUGACAAACCUCCCUCUGAGGUUGUCCGGACCAGCAUGGCAUACGAGGCAUGGGGUAUUACCCACUUACCAUGUGCAUCACAUAAAAUCAAUAACACCCUUAUCUCAUGCACCCAUGCCCUGAUAUGAUUUUAUGUGGGGUUCUUUACCAACAUAACAUAAAUCACACAUUCAAAGCAUCACAACAAAAAACACAGACUUAAUGCAAACCAGAGUUCAAGAUGCUUGCCUUUGGAGUUGAGGAGGGUGGUGUGCACCCCAAAAUAUUGAAGUAAGCCUCCUCUCUCCAAGUUCCUAUUUUGAAAAUAUUUGAAUUAAUACACAGUUUCAAAAUAGCACAAAAAGUUGUAUGAUUGUUUUUGAAAUAAAUUUGUAAAUAAACUAGAGGAAACUUUACAGAGGUUGGAAAAAGAAUCAAUCCAUUCGGAGUUGCGGUUAAAAAGUUAUGAGCACUCAAACUCUCCGGUCAAAUCUGUUUUUAAAGAGGGGAAGAAUAGAAAACGCUUCGGCCAAAAAUACGUUUCCCAGCAGGGAAAACGUAUUUACAGAGACAACUACGGAAAAAUACGCCUCACUGAAAAAUACGCCAAGAAUACGGCGAUUGGCUGCAGAUCUCGCGUGCUGCGGCACGGGAAUGGGUUCAGGGGGUCCUGGCGACUCUCCUGGUGGUCUCCACAGGCGCGGGGAUGAAGGGAAUCGCCGGUGACGCGGGCUCCGACGGACGAUGGCGUCGGCCUUCGAGAGGCCUGUGCAGCCCGAGGUCUUCGGUACUCGUGGCUACGGGGAAAAACUCCCUCUGGCUGUCACGGGGCUAAACGAGGAGGAGCUUCGUGCGGGGAGGCGCGGGCUGCGGCUAAUUUAACGAGGGAGGCUGCGGUGGCUAGGCUACCGGAGGUGAGCAAGAUGGCCAUCUUCGGCCGAAUUACUGCUACAGAAUGCUAGAUACGAUCAAUAGGGGGGCGAUGGAGCCUGCUGCAUCUCUAGGGGCUAUUUAUAGCCGU
rnacentral:lncRNA from 1 species